GAGGUGUUAGUAUAAUAUUACAUAACUUUGUCAAAGUUAAGUUNCAGGUGAAAACCCCGUACAUCUCA
rnacentral:tRNA from 1 species